rnacentral:lncRNA from 1 species
CUUUGUGUUUGAGAGUAAGACCAAGAAAGCUCUAGAAAAUGCAGAGUGAAGAGCGAUGACCCCUAAGCUUGAGGUCAGGAAAGGAGUCAGAAAGGAGACAAGUCUUAAGAUGGAGGCUAAAGAACAUGAGAACUGAGAGUUGCAGGCAGGUGUGAAUAAUAAGCCUACUGAACUUUGGGACAUCUGGCAAAGACAUGGAGGUGGGAUGGACAAUGUGGAGUCCAGCCAACUGAAGUACAGGCAGCACGCUGGUGUGCCAGGUUAUUUAAUCUUCCCUUUUUCUUCCUCUGUUUUCACCUUUCAAAAAUAUAGGCAGCCCUGUGCUCGUUGCCUCAGGGCAGAAGUCACAAGCAACCUGGGACUCCACAGGACUUGUUUCCAAAUCUGAACCCCUUGGGUCUAGGGUAGAAUUCUCAGGAAAGGUAUUUUGGUCAUAAAAUGAAGACAAUAUUCUAGAAAGAAUGUUCCCUAGGCUGUAGAAGGGAAGACAAGCAGAGAAGCCUGGGGGUCCCAUGGCAGAUGCUGUUCAUAACAUGGCAGCUUAUUCCCCAUUUCCCAGGAAGAACCACCUGGAAUCCAGAAAGGAAAUGGAUGUAGUACAUCUAGGCAGGUGAGAUUCUAUGUAGCUGCCCAGAUAGAUUCCCAGCUACAGUCUGGAAGCAGCAGAGAGCCUCCAGGAAAAUGGAUAUCACGGUAGGAAGAGGUGUUGACAAAUGCUUC